AAUCUUAGUUACCUAAGUCAGGUCACUGAAUUUGGCCAGAAAGUGGACCUUAAGGAGCCGAGUCUGGCCACUUACUGUACAGAGAAUGAAACUGAGGUGGUGGGUGGAGAAGGCACUUGGCCAAGGUCGCACAGGUGAGCCUCAGCAAAGCCGGGAUCAUACUCACAUCUCUUGGAUCCAGAUUCAGAGCUCUUUCUGUUGGUCUGCAUCAGAGAGGUGCUCGGACAUAGUCUGGAUCUUCUCUUUCCUCCAACCUCAAGCCCUGACACAAGACUAACAGGUCAGCCCUGUCUUACAUCAUGCCCACCCCCCAGCCAACAGGAUGCAGCCUCAUUUGCCAGUCUCUGAUCUAGAAACUUAAACAAGACAUCAAGAUAAACAGCUUAGCUUCCAAAUAUUUAAAACUGAAGGUCUGGAAGGGACCUUAGGAAUUGCCUUUUCCCAGUUCAAGUAAAGAAUCGGGAACAAGGAAGGCUCCCAGGAUUGGAGACCAAGUACCUACAUAAUGCUGUGUGAAUGUCAUGGCUCGGCCUGGUGCCUCAGAGAAGCCUCAGCUGCCCCGGAUGAUGCCAAGAGAGAUCAAUUACUUCUCUCCUCUCUGGCUGCUUUCUGCUGAAUAAAAAUGGAGGUGUUGGAGUAUCUCCCCCCACAACAGAUUUUCCUCAUCACAAGGACAGAUUCUUCCAAGCUCAAUUGUUUGACAUGUUUAGUAAAAAAGCACUACAAAAUGUACUUUUUUCAAAGGGAGGAUUAAAGAUCAGAUGAU